rnacentral:rRNA from 1 species
AAAUGAAUAGACGGGGACCCGCACAAGCAGCGGAGCAUGUGGUUUAAUUCGAAGCAACGCGAAGAACCUUACCAAGGCUUGACAUCCCCUUGACAGGUACAGAGAUGUACCAUCAUUUUCGAAUGCAAGGGAGACAGGUGGUGCAUGGUUGUCGUCAGCUCGUGUCGUGAGAUGUUGGGUUAAGUCCCGCAACGAGCGCAACCCUUAUCCUUAGUUGCCAGCAAGUUAAGUUGGGCACUCUAGGGAGACUGCCGGUGAUAAACCGGAGGAAGGUGGGGAUGACGUCAAAUCAUCAUGCCCCUUAUGUCUUGGGCUACACACGUGCUACAAUGGUCGGUACAACGGGAAGCGAAGGAGCGAUCCGGAGCAAAUCCCAAUAAACCGAUCCCAGUUCGGAUUGCAGGCUGCAACUCGCCUGCAUGAAGUCGGAGUUGCUAGUAAUCGCGAAUCAGAACGUCGCGGUGAAUGCGUUCCCGGGUCUUGUACACACCGCCCGU